AAAAAAAUAUAUUUCUCUAUUUCCUCAUGUUUAACUCGUAGCCAUCUAGCGCUCGAAGUCGUAAUAACGUGCAGUUCCUAUCCGCAGCCCCCCAGUCCUACACUGUGAAAAAAAAGACAGUUGAAAAAAUCUGCUCAUUGUGCUAAUCUGCACAAUGCUAGCUGUGGACUUUCUUUUUUAGAUGACUCUUGUAUUGUAAAUAUUUUCCUGCUUCUUGGAACAAGGAACAUAGGAUGUCUUGAUGCUAACGAAGUGUCAUUGGAAAGAUUGUUAAAAGAUGUUAAGCAGGAGAAACCUAAUGUUGGAGGACAAUACAUUUGUUUUGCGUUACUAGUUUUGUUUUUAAAAAUGGUUGACACCCAUACACAAAGCCAUGGGUGAUAGAUGAUAUUCACAGCAGGCACAACUGUUUUGUAAAUUGGUAUCACUUUUACAAACCCAAACAGCAGAUUAAGAUCAUGUGUCUACUGUAAAAGAGAGCAUGUGUCUUAAUGAAAAUGGCUCUCUGUUUGCGACAUCAUACCUCCACAGGGUGUAAUUUUGAUGCAGAGCUCUUGAAAUCAAGUUGAACGUUUUGAACCAUCUCAGGCCAAAGCUGGAGUUCUAGAGGUAUUAGAAAAGUCGUCGCUUUUUGGUUAGAGUUUCUUCGCCGUCCGAUGCAUAAAUUGGAAUGAUGUCCACUUCCUCGACGUCAUUGCUCACGUAAUUUAAUAACUUGUGCUUCGAAAAAAGUUGUACUUUACGGCAUCAAGUUAAACGACAUUUUAAAAUGACAACAGUCGGAAGUGCAUGUGGAUAUUUCGAAGAACGAUACCUAAACGUUACCUUUAGUCGCUGAUUCAUCUCGAAGAUAAAAUAAGUUAUUUUUAGAAAUUGAAGUGUAUAUCUGGGCUCCCUUCUUUUCUGUGGCCCCGUUUCCCCUUGACUUAUGAUAAGCCCGCAGGGGGUCAUGCCCCUACUGUGAUCAGCAGCAAAGGUUGUGAGUGCGCUGUCCGGAAAGG